GUGAUAGGGUACUUUUUGUAGAACGGUCCGGCGAGCGAUUGUAUGCAGCAAGGUUAAGGACUUAAGGUCUGGAGCCGAAGCGAAAGCGAGUUUGAAAAGGGCGUUAAGUUGCAUACAAUGGGCCCGAAACCGGGUGACCUACCCAUGGUCAGGUUGAAGUGGAAGUAAAAUUCCAUGGAGGACCGAACCGACCUCCGUUGAAAAGGCGGCGGAUGAACUGUGGGUAGCGGAGAAAUUCCAAUCGAACCCGGAGAUAGCUGGUUCUCCCCGAAAUAGUUUUAGGACUAGCCUCAAGUUAGAUACCUGGAGGUAAAGCACUGAAUAGCCUAGCGGCCGAGAGGUUAGCGAAGCUUAUCAAACUCAGAAUGCCAGAGUAUUGAUGCUUGGGAGUCAGACAGUGUCAGAUAAAUGUCAUUGUCAAAAGGGAAACAGCCCAGAUCUACAGCUAAGGUCCCAAAGUCAGGUUAAGUGGAAAACGAUGUGAAGAUACGCAGACAACCAGGAUGUUGGCUCAGAAGCAGCCACUCAUUCAAAGAGUGCGUAAUAGCUCACUGGUCGAGCGUCUUUGCGCGGAGAAUUUAACGGGGCUAAACCUGACACCGAAGCUUAGGCAAUCCAGUAAUGGAUUGGGUAGGGGAGCGUUGUAUACGCGGCGAAACAGUAGCGCAAGCGGCUGUGGAGUGUAUAGAAGUGAGAAUGCCGGAAUGAGUAGCGCGAAUGCAGUGAGAAUCUGCAUGGCCGAAAGCCUCAGGUUUUUGGAGGAAGGUUCGUCCGCUCCAAGUUAGUCGGGAGCUAAGGUGAGGCCGGAAGGCGUAGCCGAUGCACAGACGGUAGAGAUUCCGUCACCACCAAAAGAGUUAAGCACAGGGACACAUUUGAAGUCUCAGAGCCGGGUGUUGGUUCCGGUAGAGAUCGAGGGAAGUUAGUACCGAAGUCUGGGAUGGAAGAUGGCGAGAAAAGCUGUGUGUAUUUCUGAGGUGCCCGUACCGCAAACCGACACAGGUAGGUAGGAAGAAGAUUCUAAGGCCAACGGGAGAAGGGUUGUUAAGGAACUCGGCAAAUUGACCCCGUAACUUCGGGAGAAGGGGUGCUCCAGAGAUGGAGCCGCAGAGAAUCGGCCCAAGCAACUGUUUACCAAAAACACAGGUUUGUGCUAAAUCGAAAGAUGACGUAUACGAGCUGACGCCUGCCCGGUGCUGGAAGGUUAAGAGGAGAUGUGCAAGCAUUGAAUCGAAGCCCCAGUGAACGGCGGCCGUAACUAUAACGGUCCUAAGGUAGCGAAAUUCCUUGUCAGGUAAGUUCUGACCCGCAUGAAAGGCGUAAUGAUUUGGGCACUGUCUCAACAGCCCGCCCGGCGAAAUUGUAGUACCGGUGAAGAUGCCGGUUACCCGCGACAAGACGGAAAGACCCCAUGGAGCUUUACUGUAGCCUAAUAUUGGGUUUCGAUGUUGCAUGCACAGGAUAGAUGGGACACAGGGAAACAAUCGCUUUGGCGGUUGCGGAGUGGCCGUUGGGAUACCAUCCUUGCGAUAUUGGAAUUCUAACCUGCGGCUCUGAAUCGAGUCGGGGGACAUUGUUAGGUGGGCAGUUUGACUGGGGCGGUCGCCUCCUAAAGAGUAACGGAGGCGUUCAAAGGUUCGCUCAGCUUGAACGGAAAUCAAGCAAAAGAGUGCAAACGCAGAAGCGAGCCUAACUGCGAGACUGACGGGUCGAGCAGUAACGAAAGUUGGAGUUAGUGAUCCGGUGGUAUGUGAGUGGAAAUGCCAUCGCUCAACGGAUAAAAGUUACCCUGGGGAUAACAGGCUGAUCUCCCCCAAGAGUCCACAUCGACGGGGAGGUUUGGCACCUCGAUGUCGGCUCAUCGCAUCCUGGGGCUGUAUUCGGUCCCAAGGGUUUGGCUGUUCGCCAAUUAAAGCGGUACGCGAGCUGGGUUCAGAACGUCGUGAGACAGUUCGGUCCCUAUCUGUCGUGGGCGCAGGAUAUUUGAUGGGAGCUGUCCCUAGUACGAGAGGACCGGGACGGACGUACCUCUGGCGCACCAGUUGUUCCGCCAGGAGCAUAGCUGGGCAACUACGUACGGAUCGGAUAAACGCUGAAAGCAUCUAAGCGUGAAGCCGACCCAAAGAUAAGAUAUCCCACUGAUUAGAUCAGGUAAGAUCCCUUGA
rnacentral:rRNA from 1 species